ACACUGAGGUGUAAAUCAGAGUUUGAAGAGCAGCUACAUGCAGAACUGCAGAAGCCACUUCACAUUUUGCUGAUCAGCUUUCUCCCAAGAUGUUCAGGAUCGUCUCUCAACAACUACUUCAGGCCGCUGGACGGUUUAGCGGCCUGGCUAAGACACACUACAACUCUCAGUGUGAAAAGCCUGCAGCUCCAAGGAUGAGACUCCGAAAGGUCGUCGAUUCAGAGAACAAAAACCUGGCCAGGGUCUGGAGCGAGUACGCCAGGCGGUAUCCUUUGAUUUUAGAUUCCAAAGACUUGCUGUUGAAAACUUCAUCGGUCGACCCUGUCGCUGGUGAAGCAGAGAAUAGCAGAGCAAGUCCAUCAUCUACUGGAUUUGAUCAUUUGUUCCUGGAAGCUGCUCUGGUUGCACUCGGACUGGGCAUUACAUCCAUACAGGGGUUAUGCCUCAUGGCCGUCGCCACCUGUGUGCUCUGAUGGUCCGGAAAGGGCCAAGAGGGCUCGCCACCAGCCAGAGGAAACUUCUAGACCUCAGACCGGAUCCAGCACGUCAACUUUAUGGACAUCGUCUUAGAGCUGGUGCUGCUGGGAAUUCUGGGAAGAGCGAGGGUGCAUCAGAUCAUUUCAGUAAGAGAGUCUGUGCUCUAUGGAGUCUAGAAUGAAUCUGUGCUGCACUACAAGUGUAGUCAAACACCGGAGACGAAGGCUCUUUUUGGACCAGCUGAUUGCUCUCAUCUAUUCGUGCGUUACGCCCAGAUGGACUGAACGGCAGUACACAGAGCGUUAUUUAUUCCAUCUUCAGACUGAGAUGCUGAACUUCAUGGAUGAAAUCUUCACUCUGGACGAGUCUUUGUACGCAGAACCUGAAGCCCUGGCUGCUGCACUGGAGACGCUUUUAUGGCGGAGCCUCCGACGGUUUCAUGAAAGGCUGGAAACAGAACACAUCUAAAGGCCAACCUUGAUUAGAACCUUUAUUUAACUGUCAGGGAUGCAGGUCUGGUGGUUGACGUGUUUUUAAUGUGUGUUCACAGUUUCUGUACCUGUGGAGGUGCGUCAGGACCCAAGACAUGGGCGACAUGUGAAGAUACCACCAAUUUAUUGAGAUUUCAGAGAGACGUGCUGCCAUUAAGUUGACGUCUUUACAUCAGGACAACGCCCAGAUGACUUCGUGGACCAGAUCCAGAUGUGUAAAAGCUGAUGUUUUGUGAAAAUGUAAUAAAAAGAAGAAACUGUGA